rnacentral:lncRNA from 1 species
AGUUAACAGUAAAGUUUUAAUUCAAAUACACUACCCAAAAUAUUAAAAAAUAAAUUUAAAAGUACAUAAAAUUAAAGCGAAAGUAAAAAUAAACUCACUAUUAAAGUUACAUCCUUUGAUGUUUUGUAGAAUAUAAUUCAUCUAUAAUCGAAUCUGAAUCGAUAUUGUAAUAACCCCUCAACCGGGAUAAAAUAACAAUUUCAUGUCAACUAGAAAACAAAGUAAUUAAAUUUUUUUCCUCUUUCAUUUCCUCCUUUCUUCACUUGAUUC